rnacentral:rRNA from 1 species
UACGUAGGGGGCAAGCGUUAUCCGGAUUUACUGGGUGUAAAGGGAGCGUAGACGGCUGUGCAAGUCUGAAGUGAAAGCCCAGGGCUCAACCCUGGGACUGCUUUGGAAACUGUGGAGCUAGAGUGCUGGAGAGGUAAGUGGAACUCCAUGUGUAGCGGUGGAAUGCGUAGAUAUAUGGAAGAACACCAGUGGCGAAGGCGGCUCUCUGGUCUGCAACUGACGCUGAGGCUCGAAAGCAUGGGUAGCGAACAGG